GUACACGCUGUGACUAGCAUAUCAAUAAGCGGAGGAAAAGAAACUAACAAGGAUUCCCCUAGUAACGGCGAGUGAAGCGGGAAGAGCUCAAAUUUGAAAUCUUAAAGGGUUUCCCUUUACGAAUUGUAGUUUAAAGAAGUGUUUUCUGCUGAGGUUUUGGUAAAAGUUCUUUGGAAUAGGACAUCAUAGAGGGUGAGAAUCCCGUAUUUGACCUUUACUUUCAACUUUGUGAUACACUUUCAAAGAGUCGGAUUGUUUGGGAAUGCAGUCCAAAAUGGGUGGUAAAUUUCAUCUAAAGCUAAAUAUUGGCGAGAGACCGAUAGCGAACAAGUACCGUGAGGGAAAGAUGAAAAGAACUUUGAAAAGAGAGUUAAACAGUACGUGAAAUUGUCAAAAGGGAAGCGUUUGACACCAGUGUUGUUUUUCUGAAAAUCAAUUAAAGAACUGUUUAUGCUAAGCUGUUUAGACUUUAUCAGCUAUCUGUUUAGUUUUGAGCUUUUCUUUAAUGCACUUUUCAGUUAACAAGUCAACAUCAAUUUCUUUUGCUGUAAAAAAGCUUGAGGAAGGUGGCUUGAGAUUCGUCUUAAGUGUUUAUAGCCUCUUGCCUAUGCAGUCGGAGAGAUUGAGGUCUGCAGCGUAGAUCCUUCGGGGCUAAAUGCAUUUGUGCUAAGUUAUAGCAUUUUAUAGACAACUUGUUGACUAUGAUUUGUCUUGUAGCUUACUCGCUUAUGUUAUUUUACCUACGCUUAGGAUGUUGAUAUGCAUGACUGAUAU
rnacentral:rRNA from 1 species